ACCUACGGGGGGCAGCAGUGAGGAAUAUUGGUCAAUGGGAGAGAUCCUGAACCAGCCAAGCCGCGUGAGGGAAGACGGCCCUAUAGGUUGUAAACCUCUUUUGUCGGAGAACAAAACCCGGGACGUGUCCCGGCCCGGAGAGUACCCGGAGAAAAAGCAUCGGCUAACUCCGUGCCAGCAGCCGCGGUAAUACGGAGGAUGCGAGCGUUAUCCGGAUUUAUUGGGUUUAAAGGGUGCGUAGGCGGGCUUUUAAGUCAGCGGUAAAAAUUCGGGGCUCAACCCCGUCCGGCCGUUGAAACUGGGGG
rnacentral:rRNA from 1 species